GAGUCCGGGCUCGUACGGCAUCGGCGGAUCCUCCUGUGCUUGUAUCGGCAGAAACCUUAACUGCAUCGCCCCAGGCCACACAAAUUGCCGAUACUCAAGCCAUUACACAAGCCGGAGCGGCUGCCGCCUCACUAUUGUUGGAAGCCUUACAAGUGAGUUCAAGCUUUACCAUUUCCGAUUGUCAUUUUGAUAUUAACUCCUCCUGACUUUGUAUCUCGUAGAGUUCUUC
rnacentral:lncRNA from 1 species